rnacentral:lncRNA from 1 species
CAGCAACAGUGGCAAUGAGACCAGUGGAAGCAGCACCAUCGGGGAGACAAGCAAGAAGAAGAGGAGUCGGAGCCAUAAUAAAAGCAGGGAUAGAAAGCGCAGUCGUAGUCGAGAUCGGGAUCGGUAUAGACGGAGAAAUAGUCGGAGCCGAAGUCCAGGUCGGCAGUGUCGUCACCGUAGCCGUAGCUGGGAUCGUCGACAUGGUAGUGAGUCGCGAAGUCGGGACCAUCGUCGUGAGGAUCGUGUGCAUUACAGGAGUCCUCCACUUGCCACUGGACAAGGUCUCACUCUGUCACCCAGGCUGGAGUACAGUGGCACGAUCUCGGCUCACUGCAACCUCCACCUCCUGGGUUCAAACAAUUCUCCUGCCUCAGCCUCCCAAGUAGCUGGGAUUACAG